UAUGCUGCCCUCCCUGGAAGAGUCUCAGAGCAGCUUACAAUAAAAUUUGGAGAAAUUAUGAAGCCACAUACAAGUAUUAAAUAAUAUGCAAUAGAACAAACUCCCCAGACAGUGCCGCAAAACUUAACCCCACUUGCUGAAGGCCAGCUCAAAUGAAAAAAAGGUCUUACAAGGCUUCCAUAAGAUGUCCAAGCUCAAGCUCUGAUGGAUAGUAAAGUUGGCUGGAAUUUUUUUUAACCAUGAAGUACUGAAAUACCCACCCCUUCUUCCCGUCCACUUGCCGCCUCCUCCCAUCUCACGCUGCAAAAGCAGAAACCAAGGUAAAAAGAUUUUGAAAAAGAAAUAGAUCUGUAUUCUAAAGAGAGGGGAGGGGAGUAUCCAAAAUUCUGGCUAAUAUGGGUGAACCUCAAGCAAGACCUGAUACAACAGCACCUGAAGUGAUGAUAUUUUGAUUACAGCCAGCCCUUUGAGGAGCUUACCCAUUGAAGGCCUGAUCUAGCUGACUGUGCCAAAAAUUUCAUUGCUGACACACAGUAUACAUGCAUGAAAUAUAUAUUGGCCAUGCCUUCAGACCCUACCCAGGAAUGUCCAUUCAUCUGCAUGGUACGCAUCUGUCUUGCAAGACAACAGAAUUGCUUUGAGUGAGACACCAGCUCCCUGAAUGGAAACCUCACUUGAUAAUAAUGUGAAGCUGGAGUGACUGUUCCAGGGGGCAAAAGCCUGGUGGAUACAUUCCAUCACUUCUGGCUGUGUGACGGACAUCUACAGAUGGAAGAACUAAUCAGCAGAGUACUUAAGCAAAUGCCUAAUUAAGCAUGUGAGUAUUCUCGUUGAUGGAGCAUACAAUUCAAGUUAGACACCUGCUUAACUUGGAGGCUGACACAGAGCCUGAGCCUAGAAUUUAGCCCUCUGUUAACUUAAAGGCAGCUACAAAUUUUGAAAGGCUUUCUGGCUUCUUCUUGCCCCCAGUCUCCUCUGUGCUUUCAUAUAUGCAUCUAUUAUGCUCACAAAACAGGCUAGAAGGAAGUGGGAAGGGAGGAGGGAAACAGUGUACAUUAGGCUGUGAAAUGUAAAAAGAGGUUUUUCAAACAGCAUAUUCAAAACGUCACCCUGGAGUCAUACAAUAAUAAAUAUUCAAUAUUACAUUGAAAGGGUUUAAUUGCCAAGUAACUAUGGCAAUGAAGAGAAAAGCCUGUCUUUGGACACAUUCCCUCCUGCAUUAAUUUUUCCCAGGAGGAAGAGAAUGGAUUCUAGAUUGUUAAUGGAUAACGUUUUCCAGAGCCCUCUCCGAUCACUCAGUGACUCCAGGAUUAAAAAGAAGCAGACAGAAUUCUCCAAGGGAAGCUGGACGUUCAAAACAAUUAUGCUGAACAAUUCCAUCUCCUUAGAUGGGGUUGAGUACACCAGGUUCCCGAUGCAAGGCUGUCAAAGGCAUUGAGACCCAUUGUGCAGCAGUGUGACCCCUAGUAAAGUGAGCCUAGCUCUGAAUCCAAAUGCUCACUGCUUCUUCCUCUGUCCCCAAAGAAACAGGCUUUACAGCAAGCCUACGAGCCUGAAAAUGAAACUCAAAGUGUUUGGAAAAUGGAGGGCGGUGCUGGCACAAUGGGACGUGCCACUGGAUCUGUGGUUUUAGAAAACAUUUCUUAAUCCAGGAACCAACAAAGAGUGCUAAAUGGAGGUUGCCUGUACAUGAUUUCACUUAGUGCUGAGCGAGUUUUGUUAUAAUCUUCAUGGUCGCCAUCUUGGUUCAUUAAAAACAAUUGUGGUCGCCACCUU